UAUUCUCAAAGCGUAUAUUAAGUUGUUGCAGUUAAAAGCUCGUAGUUGAACCUUGGGUCUGGCUGGCCGGUCCGCCUCACCGCGAGUACUGGUCCGGCUGGACCUUUCCUUCUGGGGAACCUCAUGGCCUUCACUGGCUGUGGGGGGAACCAGGACUUUUACUGUGAAAAAAUUAGAGUGUUCAAAGCAGGCCUUUGCUCGAAUACAUUAGCAUGGAAUAAUAGAAUAGGACGUGCGGUUCUAUUUUGUUGGUUUCUAGGACCGCCGUAAUGAUUAAUAGGGAUAGUCGGGGGCGUCAGUAUUCAGCUGUCAGAGGUGAAAUUCUUGGAUUUGCUGAAGACUAACUACUGCGAAAGCAUUCGCCAAGGAUGUUUUCAUUAAUCAGGGAACGAAAGUUAGGGGAUCGAAGACGAUCAGAUACCGUCGUAGUCUUAACCAUAAACUAUGCCGACUAGGGAUCGGGCGGUGUUUCUAUGAUGACCCGCUCGGCACCUUACGAGAAAUCAAAGUUUUUGGGUUCUGGGGGGAGUAUGGUCGCAAGGCUGAAACUUAAAGAAAUUGACGGAAGGGCACCACAAGGCGUGGAGCCUGCGGCUUAAUUUGACUCAACACGGGGAAACUCACCAGGUCCAGACAAAAUAAGGAUUGACAGAUUGAGAGCUCUUUCUUGAUCUUUUGGAUGGUGGUGCAUGGCCGUUCUUAGUUGGUGGAGUGAUUUGUCUGCUUAAUUGCGAUAACGAACGAGACCUCGGCCCUUAAAUAGCCCGGUCCGCGUUUGCGGGCCGCUGGCUUCUUAGGGGGACUAUCGGCUCAAGCCGAUGGAAGUGCGCGGCAAUAACAGUCAUAUAGUUCGCUCCCUUCAUAGAAA
rnacentral:rRNA from 1 species